GGAACUGGAGUGGGUUGGUUGUUUUGUGUAGAGGGAAUUGGUGCACUGAGGAGCUGCCCUCGUGAAACACAAAGAAGGUGCUGCCAGCUCAGCCUCAGGAGGCUCAGCAUUCAUCUGAGGUGGUCCUCAAGGUGAUCAGCAUCCAGCAGAUUCAGCAGAGCUAGACUGUGAGAAAGCUGUGGGAAGGCUUCCUGAGGAACAAGGAGAUAAUGCUGCUAUGUAGAAGCUUUGUAGCUGAACCUAAGAAAUACGUUCGUGGGACAGCAGCGCAUUAGCAAACUGUUCAAGCAUUUAUACUUAUUUGUACUGCUUCAAGUGUUCUGGAGUUAUAGCCAAGGUAUUUGUAGGAACCCAUGCUGUUUUUUUCUUGUGCUCAGGCACUCCCCUAUGUGUGUAUAACUUAAUUAACAGUUAUCUAUUUAUAUUUAAGUUACAGUUAAAAGUACUAAUCAUUCAAUGGGGCUCCACUAGGUAUUAAUUUGUAAAUAGUGUAGACAAAUAGCUGUGGAUUUAUAGAGUGAUGAAUUGUUGCUGUGAUCUCGGUGACUUCUCUGCAUGUAUUUUAAAACGUGUUUGAUUCAGACUAAUUCUAAGCCAUUCCUGUGGGCCAAGUACCAUGGGUUCAGUUCCUUGUGAUUUCAUCCAGAUUAUGGCACUCGAGUCAUUGUGUGGUGUGAAUCAAAGCACAGGAGAUGACUAGUGGCAACCAGAUCCACUUCAAAGAUAUUCUAAACUAAAAUAAAAAAGGAGAUUUUAUCACUGUGCAUCAAAAAUACAAAACACAUUUACAUAACAUGAAUUGUUUCAUAUACUCAUGUUUCUGCUAUGAGUGCAUUACACUCAUAGCAUUCUUGUACUGAAACAUCAAAUGUUGGCCAGAAAGGGAAAGUAAAAUGAAAGAAGUCAGAUAAAUUUAAUUUUUUUAAAACAAACUUGGAGAAUGUUAAAUACAAGCAGAAAUUGAGGUAGAACUAUAAAUGUGGCAUUGCAUUUUUUUCAAAGGAAGAGAUGCUUAAAGAAAAAUUUAUCAAACAAGGUAACUUAUGCAGGGCUAUAUUUAUACCUCAGUUUUCAUGGAGAAUGUCCUAUAAAUUGGAUUGUUCCAUAUACUUUUUCUAGAAUGUAUUUAUUUCCUUAAACUUGCUUUAUGUACCAAAUUUACACUCUUAACCCAGUAAUGGUCGUAAACUACUUUGUACCCCAAGGGUAGAUUGAAAAGUUUAAUCCUAUUGUUAUGAAUGUAAUCUUCAAUCCAUUGGAAAGGAAAUGCUACAGUUUUCAAAUAACAGUUUUGUACUUUAACCCAGGUUUUUUUACAAAUAAAGAAUAAUAAUUAUGAAAA